AUUAAUAAAAGAAAGAAACAAGAGGAAAAGAAGUACAGUAACGCGUUUCUCCUUCUCUCUGUUUCCUUCAUUCGUUUCGCGAUCGACCACCGCACCGCAGCACCACUCUCAAAUCCGGUCUCAAAUCUCUCUAUUUCUCAUUCUCUCAGUCUCAGGCCGCUCUCCGCCGCCGCUCUCAGCCUCUCUCUCGCAGUCGCAGCGCACACAGAUGAGGAGGUUUUUGGUUCCUAGGAAAAGUAUUGAGAAUGCAAAUGUUGUGCAAUCGGAAGCCGUAGAAGAACCUCCACCGAGCGGGAAAUAUUCAAGUCACUUGAUGACGUUGAUAUCAUCCGAACCUUCACCGCAAAAAGAUCUCGGAAAGGACAUUUGCCUCCUAAUUUUAUGUAGUAACUAUUGGCUCCAAUAUAAUCCUGGCUCCGCCACUGUCUUCAUGUCACGCACGACUUC